AUGGAAGGCCCAGCUCAGCUUCUCUGCCUGCUAGUGUUCUGGCUCCCAGAUGCCAUGGGCGACAUUGUCAUGACGCAGUCCCCAGCUUCCCUCUCUCUGUCUCCUGGUGAAAGAGCCUCCCUCACCUGCAAGUCCAGUCAGAGUGUUGGCAGUGCAUUAGCCUGGUAUCAGCAGAAACCUGGGCAGGCUCCCAGGCUCCUCAUCUAUGUUGCAUCAAGCAGGGCCAAUGGCAUCCCAGACCGAUUCAGUGGGAGUGGGUCUGGGACAGACUACACUCUCACUAUCAGCAGCCUGGAAGAUGAAGAUUUUGGAACUUAUUACUGUCAGCAGCAUGGUUAUUCCCCUCCCACGAUGUUACAUGCUUGA